UAGGGAAUCUUCCGCAAUGGGCGAAAGCUUGACGGAGCAACGCCGCGUGAGUGAUGAAGGUCUUCGGAUCGUAAAACUCUGUUAUUAGGGAAGAACAAAUGUGUAAGUAACUAUGCACGUCUUGACGGUACCUAAUCAGAAAGCCACGGCUAACUACGUGCCAGCAGCCGCGGUAAUACGUAGGUGGCAAGCGUUGUCCGGAUUUAUUGGGCGUAAAGCGAGCGCAGGCGGUCAAUUAAGUCUGAUGUGAAAGCCCCCGGCUCAACCGGGGAGGGUCAUUGGAAACUGGUUGACUUGAGUGCAGAAGAGGAGAGUGGAAUUCCAUGUGUAGCGGUGAAAUGCGUAGAUAUAUGGAAGAACACCAGUGGCGAAGGCGACUCUCUGGUCUGUAACUGACGCUGAGGCUCGAGAGCGGGGGUAGCAAACAGG
rnacentral:rRNA from 1 species